rnacentral:rRNA from 1 species
GGCGGACGGGUGAGUAAUGUAUUGGAACUUGCCUAAUAGUGGGGGACAACGUGUGGAAACGCACGCUAAUACCGCAUACGCUCUACGGAGGAAAGCGGGGGAUCUUCGGACCUCGUGCUACUAGAUGGGCCUAUAUUGGAUUAGCUAGUUGGUAGGGUAAAGGCCUACCAAGGCGACGAUCCAUAGCUGGUUUGAGAGAAUGAUCAGCCACACUGGGACUGAGACACGGCCCAG